UUCGGUGGUCAUAGCGUAGGGGAAACGCCCGGUUACAUUCCGAACCCGGAAGCUAAGCCUUACAGCGCCGACGGUACUGCAGGGGGGACCCUGUGGGAGAGUAGGACGCCGCCGAAC
rnacentral:rRNA from 1 species